GCUGAGUGGCUCAGUCGGUUGAGCAUCUGACUUUGGCUCAGGUCAUGAUCUCACGGGUCGUGGGUUUGAGCCCCACAUCGGGCU
rnacentral:tRNA from 1 species